UACGGGGGGGGCAAGCGGUUGUUCGGAAUUACUGGGCGUAAAGGGCUCGUAGGCGGCCAACUAAGUCAGACGUGAAAUCCCUCGGCUUAACCGGGGAACUGCGUCUGAUACUGGAUGGCUUGAGUUUGGGAGAGGGAUGGCGGAAUUCCAGGUGUAGCGGUGAAAUGCGGUAGAUAAUCAGGAGGAACACCGGUGGCGAAGGCGGGUCUCUGGGCCGAUGACUGACGCUGGAGGAGCGAA
rnacentral:rRNA from 1 species